AGUCGAGCGGUAAGGCCCCUUCGGGGGUACACGAGCGGCGAACGGGUGAGUAACACGUGAGCAACCUACCCUUCACUUCGGGAUAAGCCUCGGAAACGGGGUCUAAUACCGGAUAUCACUCACUACUUCAUGGUGGUGGGUUGAAAGUUCUGGCGGUGGGGGAUGGGCUCGCGGCCUAUCAGCUUGUUGGUGGGGUAAUGGCCUACCAAGGCGUCGACGGGUAGCCGGCCUGAGAGGGCGACCGGCCACACUGGGACUGAGACACGGCCCAGACUCCUACGGGAGGCAGCAGUGGGGAAUAUUGCGCAAUGGACGAAAGUCUGACGCAGCAACGCCGCGUGAGGGAUGACGGCCUUCGGGUUGUAAACCUCUUUCAGCAGGGACGAAGCGAGAGUGACGGUACCUGCAGAAGAAGGACCGGNCAACUACGUGCCAGCAGCCGCGGUAAUACGUAGGGUCCGAGCGUUGUCCGGAAUUAUUGGGCGUAAAGGGCUCGUANGCGGUUCGUCACGUCGGGAGUGAAAACUCGGAGCUCAACUCCGAGCCUGCUUUCCGAUACGGGCAGACUANAGGUAGGCAGGGGAGAGCGGAACUCCUGGUGUAGCGGUGGAAUGCGCA
rnacentral:rRNA from 1 species